rnacentral:lncRNA from 13 species
AGAAAGCAGGAUGUGGCCCCAGUCAGCUCAAGUAGGCUUUCAGUAGUAGUCGGAAUGACCUGGGCAAGUCAACUCUUUGAGCUCAGACCCUGGUGGUGUUAAAAAAUUAUUCUCACACUUGGUAAAAUAUAAGAAAGACUUGACUCGGGAUGAUUUCCAUAGGUGUCAAGACUAUCAAAUGGAGAAAGAGAUGGGACUCAACUCCGAAGGCAAGGAAGAGAGCCGGGGAUUUACAGCUGAUGAGCAGAUGAGCGGUCAGUGGAUGGAAAAGUACUAAGAGAAUCGUUGCUAUGCUUACUUAAUAGGAUUCUGGCUGAAGCCAGGCCAGGGUGAUCAGAUGCCAAAGAUGAAAAAGCCAAGACAGGCCGGCACAGUGGCUCCUGCCUGUAAUACCAGAGCUUUGGGGGGCCAAGGCAGGCAGAGAUCACUUGAGCCCAGGAGUUCGAGACCAGCCUGGGCAACAUGGCAAAAUCCCAUCUCUACAAAAAAUAGCUACUCAGGAGGCUAAGAACAAGAAGUGGCCAAUUUCCUUAAGCGGAACCACGGAAAGACUGAAUACACAAACAGGCAAUCCUCAGACCAAAUGAAAAUAGAACUCUGACCUGCCAUCUGCAGCAACCAGCCCAGACAACCAGCCCAUGACCUACAGUAACCAGCCCAGACAACCAGCCCAUUACCUACAGCAACCAGCCCAGACAACCAACCCGUGACCUACAGUAACCAGCCCAGGAAGCAGCCCAUGACCUACAGUAACCAGCCCAGGAAGCAGCGACCAUCAGGCGAUCGGGCCAAGAAACCAUACAAUACCCUCUGGCACAACUAGCCCAGAAAUGUCAGGACUUCACUAAUAACUGACAACUUCCCUAGUUUUUGUCCCCACCCCUAACUUAGGAGCAGAGAAAGCCAAAUAAGCUCCUGCACCAAUCCCAUCAGAUGCCCCACAUCUGAUUAGCCCACCUGCAGCUUCCCAGACCAGCCGCCUCCUACCAGGACACACCUGAAGCCCUCGCUUGUUUCCACUAUAAAGAUUCCCACUCCUCUGCCUGCCUUUGAGUCUCUGCCAAAUGCAAGCAACGGCAAGCCCCAAAUAAAUAGCCUUUGCUUGUUCUCUUUGGGUGGUCU